GACGAACGCUGGCGGCGUGCUUAACACAUGCAAGUCGAACGGAAAGGCCCUGCUUUUGUGGGGUGCUCGAGUGGCGAACGGGUGAGUAACACGUGAGUAACCUGCCCUUGACUUUGGGAUAACUUCAGGAAACUGGGGCUAAUACCGGAUAGGAGCUCCUGCUGCAUGGUGGGGGUUGGAAAGUUUCGGCGGUUGGGGAUGUACUCGCGGCGUAUCAGCUUGGUGGUGGGGUAGUGGCUUACCAAGGCUUGGACCGGUAGCCGGCCUGAGAGGGUCACCGGCCACAUUGGGACGGAGAUACGGCCCAGACUCCUACGGGAGGCAGCAGUGGGGAAUAUUGCACAAUGGGCGGAAGCCUGAUGUAGCAACGCCGCGUGCGGGAUGACGGCCUUCGGGUUGUAAACCGCUGUCGCCUGUGACGAAGCGUGAGUGACGGUAAUGGGUAAAGAAGCACCGGCUAACUACGUG
rnacentral:rRNA from 1 species